UACGGGGGGAGCAAGCGUUGUUCGGAUUUACUGGGCGUAAAGCGCACGUAGGCGGCUUUGUAAGUUAGAGGUGAAAGCCCGGAGCUCAACUCCGGAACUGCCUUUAAGACUGCAUCGCUUGAACGUCGGAGAGGUAAGUGGAAUUCCGAGUGUAGAGGUGAAAUUCGUAGAUAUUCGGAAGAACACCAGUGGCGAAGGCGACUUACUGGACGACUGUUGACGCUGAGGUGCGAGAGCGUGGGGAGCAAACAGG
rnacentral:rRNA from 1 species